rnacentral:rRNA from 1 species
CGUUCUGUAAGCCUGUGAAGGUGUGCUGUGAGGCAUGCUGGAGGUAUCAGAAGUGCGAAUGCUGACAUAAGUAACGAUAAAGCGGGUGAAAAGCCCGCUCGCCGGAAGACCAAGGGUUCCUGUCCAACGUUAAUCGGGGCAGGGUGAGUCGACCCCUAAGGCGAGGCCGAAAGGCGUAGUCGAUGGGAAACAGGUUAAUAUUCCUGUACUUGGUGUUACUGCGAAGGGGGGACGGAGAAGGCUAUGUUGGCCGGGCGACGGUUGUCCCGGUUUAAGCGUGUAGGCUGGUUUUCCAGGCAAAUCCGGAAAAUCAAGGCUGAGGCGUGAUGACGAGGCACUACGGUGCUGAAGCAACAAAUGCCCUGCUUCCAGGAAAAGCCUCUAAGCAUCAGGUAACAUCAAAUCGUACCCCAAACCGACACAGGUGGUCAGGUAGAGAAUACCAAGGCGCUUGAGAGAACUCGGGUGAAGGAACUAGGCAAAAUGGUGCCGUAACUUCGGGAGAAGGCACGCUGAUAUGUAGGUGAAGUCCCUCGCGGAUGGAGCUGAAAUCAGUCGAAGAUACCAGCUGGCUGCAACUGUUUAUUAAAAACACAGCACUGUGCAAACACGAAAGUGGACGUAUACGGUGUGACGCCUGCCCGGUGCCGGAAGGUUAAUUGAUGGGGUCAGCGCAAGCGAAGCUCUUGAUCGAAGCCCCGGUAAACGGCGGCCGUAACUAUAACGGUCCUAAGGUAGCGAAAUUCCUUGUCGGGUAAGUUCCGACCUGCACGAAUGGCGUAAUGAUGGCCAGGCUGUCUCCACCCGAGACUCAGUGAAAUUGAACUCGCUGUGAAGAUGCAGUGUACCCGCGGCAAGACGGAAAGACCCCGUGAACCUUUACUAUAGCUUGACACUGAACAUUGAGCCUUGAUGUGUAGGAUAGGUGGGAGGCUUAGAAGUGUGGACGCCAGUCUGCAUGGAGCCGACCUUGAAAUACCACCCUUUAAUGUUUGAUGUUCUAACGUUGACCCGUAAUCCGGGUUGCGGACAGUGUCUGGUGGGUAGUUUGACUGGGGCGGUCUCCUCCUAAAGAGUAACGGAGGAGCACGAAGGUUGGCUAAUCCUGGUCGGACAUCAGGAGGUUAGUGCAAUGGCAUAAGCCAGCUUGACUGCGAGCGUGACGGCGCGAGCAGGUGCGAAAGCAGGUCAUAGUGAUCCGGUGGUUCUGAAUGGAAGGGCCAUCGCUCAACGGAUAAAAGGUACUCCGGGGAUAACAGGCUGAUACCGCCCAAGAGUUCAUAUCGACGGCGGUGUUUGGCACCUCGAUGUCGGCUCAUCACAUCCUGGGGCUGAAGUAGGUCCCAAGGGUAUGGCUGUUCGCCAUUUAAAGUGGUACGCGAGCUGGGUUUAGAACGUCGUGAGACAGUUCGGUCCCUAUCUGCCGUGGGCGCUGGAGAACUGAGGGGGGCUGCUCCUAGUACGAGAGGACCGGAGUGGACGCAUCACUGGUGUUCGGGUUGUCAUGCCAAUGGCACUGCCCGGUAGCUAAAUGCGGAAGAGAUAAGUGCUGAAAGCAUCUAAGCACGAAACUUGCCCCGAGAUGAGUUCUCCCUGACUCCUUGAGAGUCCUGAAGGAACGUUGAAGACGACGACGUUGAUAGGCCGGGUGUGUAAGCGCAGCGAUGCGUUGAGCUAACCGGUACUAAUGAACCGUGAGG